AGAAAUCAACGAUAAAGCCCAUGAGGAUGAGUGUGAAUGCUGUGUCAGACACAUUUGUACAUACAAAACGGUUUCUUACCGGCAGCCGGAGUCCACGUCCGUGUAAAGCCGGAGCAUGAACUCUCCUUCUGUGAAAGGCUUGAAGGUGGUCGGGAUGACGACAUAUCGGCCCUGUGGCAGCUCACAUCUCAUGAACACCGACCGAGCGUCGAUGUAGGUGGAGGUCGAUGGCUUCCGCCACGGCUCCACUGAAAUCCACCACAGCAUCUCCAGUGUUGCCUCCAGCCAGGGACUCAUAGCAGCCAAACAGC